GUAUACAUAGAGAAAAUGGUACAGAGAAACUAUUUAUCAUUUGCCUUCUUUAACAUUUCAUUUUUUUUUCCAUUGCCAAUAAUUAGUAGAAGUCAUAAAAAUAGUAUAAAGAAGUCUGAAUACUUAGAGCCCUUUACUUUGUGGUGUCCAAAGGACUUUGAAACAAAACCUGAUCAAAAAGUCUGUCAUAACCUUUUUUACUCAAAUGACUUUCUUUCUUUCCACCAAAAUAAAAAAAUAAAAUAAAAAUAAAAAUAAACCCUCUUCACUAGAAAUAAUAUUAAUUUACAAUUUCCUUAACAGAUUACAUUCCAGAAGUUUCAACGGUCAAAAGAACUUUUAAAACUUUACCUUCCGGAAAUAUUUUUCAACAUAUGCAUACUUAAUGUAUGGUCAGGAAAAGUAGUUCUGCACAAGGAACUAAACUAAUUUUGCUCAUCCUGGUGCUAUCCCUUCAAAAUCCCAACGGUCUAUAUUUCUAAGAAAUACUCGAUGAAAUCAGGCACGAACAAGGAAGCAGAAAAAUGUGAAUCAAUACUAAACAGCUGUCACAUGUACAAGAUGGUUUUACAUCCACACAAAUAUUUCUCUCAGGUUUCUACAGGUAUUCUAGGCCAUGAUCCAAACCAUGGUUAUUAUAUAUUUAUAAUGUUUUAACAAAAGUUAAAACCAUAUAUUAUUAAUGUUAUUUUGUAUAAAUGUAAUGCAC
rnacentral:lncRNA from 1 species